GGCGGCCGCGGGAAUUCGAUUCGUAUUACCGCGGCUGCUGGCACAGAGUUAGCCGGUGCUUGCUAAGGAGGUACCGUCAAGGACGCACCGUUUCUUGUGCGCCGUUUUCGUCCCUCCCCACAGAGCUUUACAACCCGAAGGCCUUCAUCACUCACGCGGCGUGGCUGGAUCAGGCUUGCGCCCAUUGUCCAAUAUUCCCCACUGCUGCCUCCCGUAGGAGUCUGGCCCGUGUUUCAGUGCCAGUGUGGCUGAUCAUCCUCUCAGACCAGCUACGCGUCUAAGCCUUGGUGGGCCAUUACCCCACCAACUAGCUGAUGCGCCGCAGGAUCAUCCUAAAGUGCUAGCUUGUAUACAGUGGCCAGCUUUUCCCUCAUCGACCGGAGUCGUCGUGGGCUUAUGCGGUAUUAGCGUCCCUUUCGGGACGUUAUCCCCCGCUCUAGGGAAGAUUUCCUACGUGUUACUCACCCGGACGCCACGCUACCGGGGACGAAUCCCUUUCGCGUUCGACUUGCAUGUGUUAGGCCCGCCGCUAACGUUCGCUCUGAGCCAUGAUCAAACUCUAAUCACUAGUGAAUUCGCGGCCGCCUGCAGGUCGACCAUAUGG
rnacentral:rRNA from 1 species